GCACAUAUGCAACCAAAAUCUGGAUGACACACAAAUUAGCAUGGCCUCUGCGAAAAGAUGACAUGUAAAUUUGUGAAACGUUUCAUACAUUU
rnacentral:snRNA from 1 species